UGUUAAAAAAUUCAUCCAUUUAUGUUGUUAAAAACGAGUGUGACUGAUGGAAUAACUAAACAGUGACACAUAACAUGUCUCGUAUACCUUGUGCUAAGGUAUAGUUAUCAAUUUUUAAGAAUAGAAAUAAAUGAAAUUUUUAUAA
rfam:Gossypium hirsutum cultivar TM-1 unplaced genomic scaffold scaffold1463.1, whole genome shotgun sequence